AACGAACGCUGGCGGCGUGUUUAAGACAUGCAAGUCGCACGGGACAAGUUGAGUAGCAAUACGAUGCUUGUUUAGUGGCGCACGGGUGAGUAACACGUGAAUUACAUGCCCUAUAGUGGGGAAUAGCCCAGGGAAACUUGGAUUAAUACCCCAUGGUCUCGCAAGAGUAAAGGUGGCCGCAAGGCUGUCGCUAUAGGAUU
rnacentral:rRNA from 1 species